UCUCUCUCUCUCUCUCUCUCUCUCUCUGGGGCUGUUCCUUUGUCUGUUAAAAAGAAAAUCCCAUAAUGGGUCCCUGUCUAAAAUCCCUCGCUUUCCCCCACUUUCCCGCAGUUUCCGUCACUUUCUUCCUCUAUCUUACUACUCUCUUCCCAUUUUCCGCCACAUCCCAGCCGUCCAUCUACGACCAUCUCCGCCAAAACGGCCUUCCCAUAGGCCUCCUCCCCAAGGGCAUUACCGAAUUUUCAAUCGACCCCACUACUGGUCACUUCCAGAUAAACCUAACCCAACCUUGCAAUGCCAAAUUCGA
rnacentral:misc_RNA from 1 species